ACGGUCCUAAGGUAGCGAAAUUCCUUGUCAGGUAAGUUCUGACCCGCACGAAAGGUGUAAUGAUUUGGGCACUGUCUCGGCAGCAGACUCGGUGAAAUCUUAGUACCUGUGAAGAUGCAGGUUACCCGCAACUAGACGGAAAGACCCCAUGGAGCUUUACUGUAGUCUGCUAUUGAGUUUCGGUUAAGUAUGCACAGGAUAGGUGGGAGACGAUGAGACUGGUCUUUCGGGAUCAGAGGAGUCACUGUUGGGAUACCACUCUUACUUAAUUGAAAUUCUAACUCUAAGCCGUGAUCCGGCUAGAGGACCGUGGCAGAUGGGCAGUUUGACUGGGGCGGUCGCCUCCCAAAGAGUAACGGAGGCGCACAAAGGUACUCUCAGAAUGGUUGGAAAUCAUUCAACGAGCGCAAACGCAGAAGAGUGCUUGACUGCGAGACAAACAAGUCGAGCAGGGACGAAAGUCGGUGUUAGUGAUCCGGCGGUGCAGAAUGGAAUGGCCGUCGCUUAACGGAUAAAAGCUACCCUGGGGAUAACAGGCUGAUCUCCCCCAAGAGUUCACAUCGACGGGGAGGUUUGGCACCUCGAUGUCGGCUCAUCGCAUCCUGGGGCUGUAGUCGGUCCCAAGGGUUGGGCUGUUCGCCCAUUAAAGCGGUACGCGAGCUGGGUUCAGAACGUCGUGAGACAGUUCGGUCCCUAUCUGUUGUGGGCGUUGGAAAUUUGAGGAGAGCUGCCCCUAGUACGAGAGGACCAGGGUGGACGUUCCUACGGUGCACCAGUUGUCACGCCAGUGGCAUAGCUGGAUAGCUGAGAACGGACCGGAUAAACGCUGAAGGCAUCUAAGCGUGAAACCGACUCCAAGAUUAGAUUUCCCAUCAUUUCAAAUGAAUAAGACCCCUUGAAGACGACGAGGUUGAUAGGUCAGAGAUGUAAGUGUAGCGAUACAUUCAGUUGACUGAUACUAAUAGGUCGAAGAUUUAUUCAC
rnacentral:rRNA from 1 species